rnacentral:lncRNA from 1 species
UCCACAGGAAGGAGGAUCAUGCCCUAAAAUUUGCACAUCAGACCACUGUAUAAAAGAGUGAACAAGAAAAAUGUGAAGUAGCGAGGUCUUCCCCAGAGAAAGGAAUUGUGAAUCCCAAUUUGCCACAAACAGGAGAAAUACAAUUCCAAAACAGAAAUUAUCUUAAAUGAGGAAGAGAAACUUCAAACUGAAAAUGUCCAUAUGGAUUGUUUUGACCACAUAAAUGCUUUUCCUCAACUUUUAUUAAAUUGGAAGAAACAUCGAUUUUUCUCUCACAAGAUGUUUUAAGCUUUAUGUACGGUGUUUCACAGUGUCUAGACAUCUUUGUUGUUUAUUUGUUUGUUCUGUUAGUCUAGAUUUUUCUUCCUUGGAAAUCUUUCAUUACUAAUUUCAUUCUUCUUAUCCACACUCUUCUUUUACUGUUCCUCCUUCUGUCCAUGUUCUUCUUCUCAGUCAAUGGGUCUUCACAUUCUUGAAAUAUUU